rnacentral:tRNA from 1 species
CCAGGUAUGGCCGAGUGUUUAGGCAAUGGACUUUGACUCCAUUUAGGUUGGUUUAAUUCCAACUAUCUGGU